AUGUUUGAUUUUCAUAAGCAAAAGACGUACCAAAGUAUAGAAGGCUGUUGUAUUUGCAGAGCUAAGUCCUCCAGUUCUCGAUGCACUGACAGUAAAUGCUAUGAAAAGGACUUCCAGAGCCAUUUUGGAUUACAUGAGACUUGCUCAGGAGACAUCUGCAAUGCUUGUGUCCUGCUUGUAAAAAGACGGAAGAAGGUGAGAGCAGGAUUAAAAAAAAAAAAAAAAAAAAAAAAAAAAAAAAAACUGGAAUCAUGUGGUAGUUACAAGGCCUGGACCCAGUAUAAAGAGUACAUUGAAACCAUAGAAAGUGAAAACUCUAUCCGAGAACAGGAUAAAAAGCAUCCAGAUCAGUAAACUGCAGAAGGAAUUUGAACGUCAUAAUUCUGAUGCUCACAAUACCACCUCAAAUGCGCCCCCAGCUCAAUCUCCUUGUAACAGUAACCAGUUAGAUGAUAGCUCAGAUACAGAAAUGGUUUCUGGUUCUAACAGAACGCCAGUUUUUUUCCUUUUUAGAGCUCACAUACUGGAAAAGACAGAAGAGACAUUGUGGGGUCAUCUAUAAAGGCUGUUUUGGGGAAGUCCUCAUCAACACACAUCUCUUCAAGUCUUGCUGCAGUCAUAAGAAAGCAGCU
rnacentral:lncRNA from 1 species